UUGACUUCCUACUGACGCGGAGACUCACACACACUUCGGGCAACAGUACAAAAAUUGCUCAAAAUUUGGGAACAGGCGCGCACUUUAUUUUGGAAGAAAAAGCUUAAAUGGCGAUCGUUGUUCACUCAUGGAGCCACAGCCUAUACCAAAGGGGCCGAACAAGUAGAGGAGGCGCUUACUGUGAGGGAGAAGAGAGGAAGAUUUUCCUAAAAGCCAACAGAUAUGGUUGUAAUCCCGGUUUGUUACUUUGGUGAUUUUGAAUUGGAUGGAAAUGAUCGAUGGGUAUGGAAAUGGACAAGUAAUAUACGUGGUGGUAUUCCAAUUUCCAUAACAAAGAGUACAUUGUACGUGGAAAUGUACUAUGAUUUACAAAAUAAGUUGAAUGUCGAUUCCUCAGAGUACGAUAUGGAACUAAGAUUUCAAUUUAACGAGCAUUCAUCCAUUUCAAUUCCACCUAUGAAGGUUACUUCUAAUACUGAAGUGAAUCAUCUAUUUGAAUUAAACAAAAUGCACACGACGCCUCUUUGUGUGACUUUAAUGAAGAAGGAUGUCGUCAAAUUUGAAGCGGAUGAUGAUUGUUAGUAAUAUAUGUACAAUGAAACCUGAAGCCUUGGCUUUAAUAUAUGUAUAUAAUGCAAUUCCACAAGCUCUUUUUAAUUGUUUAA